rnacentral:rRNA from 1 species
UACGUAGGUGACGAGCGUUAUCCGGAUUUAAUGGGCGUAAAGCGCUUGUAGGUGGUCUUGUAAGUUGGGCGUGAAAACACCGGGCUUAACUCGGUGACGCCGUCCAAGACUGCGAGACUGGAGGAUGUCAGAGGAAGGUGGAAUUCCUGGUGUAGUGGUGAAAUGCGUAGAUAUCAGGAGGAACACCCGUGGCGAAGGCGGCCUUCUGGGGCAUUCCUGACACUGAGACGCGAAAGCUAGGGGAGCAAACAGG